UACCAGCACCCCGAGUGGUCGGGACGUUUAUUGGGCCUAAAGCAUCCGUAGCCGGUUCUACAAGUCUUCCGUUAAAUCCACCUGCUUAACAGAUGGGCUGCGGAAGAUACUAUGGAGCUAGGAGGCGGGAGAGGCAAGCGGUACUCGAUGGGUAGGGGUAAAAUCCGUUGAUCCAUUGAAGAACACCGGUGGCGAAGGCGGCUCACUGGCCCGAUACUGACGCUGAGGCACGAAAGCGUGGGUAGCGAACAGG
rnacentral:rRNA from 1 species